rnacentral:rRNA from 1 species
AUUGAACGCUGGCGGCAGGCCUAACACAUGCAAGUCGAGCGGGAGCUUCGGUUCUAGCGGCGGACGGGUGAGUAAUGCGUAGGAAGCUACCCGACAGAGGGGGAUACCAGUUGGAAACGACUGUUAAUACCGCAUAAUGUCUACGGACCAAAGUGUGGGACCUUCGGGCCACAUGCUGUCGGAUGCGCCUACGUGGGAUUAGCUAGUUGGUGAGGUAAUGGCUCACCAAGGCGACGAUCCCUAGCUGGUUUGAGAGGAUGAUCAGCCACACUGGAACUGAGACACGGUCCAGACUCCUACGGGAGGCAGCAGUGGGGAAUAUUGGACAAUGGGCGAAAGCCUGAUCCAGCCAUGCCGCGUGUGUGAAGAAGGCCUUCGGGUUGUAAAGCACUUUCAGUAGGGAGGAAGAGUUGAGUGUUAAUAGUACUCAGCUUUGACGUUACCUACAGAAGAAGCACCGGCUAACUCUGUGCCAGCCGCCGCCGUAAAAC